GACGAACGCUGGCGGCGUGCUUAACACAUGCAAGUCGAACGGAAAGGCCCUGCUUUUGUGGGGUGCUCGAGUGGCGAACGGGUGAGUAACACGCGAGUAACCUGCCCUUGACUUUGGGAUAACUUCAGGAAACUGGGGCUAAUACCGGAUAGGAGCUCCUGCUGCAUGGUGGGGGUUGGAAAGUUUCGGCGGUUGGGGAUGGACUCGCGGCUUAUCAGCUUGUUGGUGGGGUAGUGGCUUACCAAGGCUUUCACGGGUAGCCGGCCUGAGAGGGUGACCGGCCACAUUGGGACUGAGAUACGGCCCAGACUCCUACGGGAGGCAGCAGUGGGGAAUAUUGCACAAUGGGCGGAAGCCUGAUGCAGCAACGCCGCGUGCGGGAUGACGGCCUUCGGGUUGUAAACCGCUUUCGCCUGUGACGAAGCGUGAGUGACGGUAAUGGGUAAAGAAGCACCGGCUAACUACGUG
rnacentral:rRNA from 1 species